GAUCAUGGCUCAGAUUGAACGCUGGCGGCAGGCCUAACACAUGCAAGUCGAGCGGGAUGAAGAGAGCUUGCUCUCUGAUUCAGCGGCGGACGGGUGAGUAAUGCCUAGGAAUCUGCCUGAUAGUGGGGGACAACGUUUCGAAAGGAACGCUAAUACCGCAUACGUCCUACGGGAGAAAGGCCAGGGGGACCUUCGGGGCCUUGUCGACUAUUCAGAUGAGCCUAGGUCGGAGUUAG
rnacentral:rRNA from 1 species